rnacentral:sRNA from 1 species
GCCAGGCAUGGUGGCGUAGGCCUGUAAUCCCAGUGACUUGGGAGGCCGAGGCAGGAGGACUGCAGGUCUGAAGCUAGCCUCAG